CAUAUCAAUAAGCGGAGGAAAAGAAACUAACAAAGGAUUCCCCUAGUAACUGCGAGUGAAGCGGGAAAAGCUCAAAUUUAAAAUCUGGCAGCCUUUGGUUGUCCGAGUUGUAAUCUAGAGAAGUGUUAUCCGCGUUGGACCGUGUACAAGUCUCCUGGAAUGGAGCGUCAUAGAGGGUGAGAAUCCCGUCUUUGACACGGACUGCCAAGGCUUUGUGAUGCGCUCUCAAAGAGUCGAGUUGUUUGGGAAUGCAGCUCAAAAUGGGUGGUAAAUUCCAUCUAAAGCUAAAUAUUGGCGAGAGACCGAUAGCGAACAAGUACCGUGAGGGAAAGAUGAAAAGAACUUUGGAAAGAGAGUUAAACAGUACGUGAAAUUGCUGAAAGGGAAACGCUUGAAGUCAGUCGCGUUGUCCAGGGAUCAACCUUGCUUUUGCUUGGUGCACUUUCUGGUUGACGGGUCAGCAUCAAUUUUGACUAUUGGAAAAAGAUUAGGGGAAUGUGGCAUCUUUGGAUGUGUUAUAGCCCUUGGUUGCAUACAAUGGUUGGGAUUGAGGAACUCAGCACGCCGCAAGGCCGGGUUUUUAACCACGUACGUGCUUAGGAUGCUGGCAUAAUGGCUUUAAUCGACCCGUCUUGAAACACGGACCAAGGAGUCUAACAUGCCUGCGAGUGUUUGGGUGGAAAACCCGAGCGCGUAAUGAAAGUGAAAGUUGAGAUCCCUGUCGUGGGGAGCAUCGACGCCCGGACCAGACCUUUUGUGACGGUUCCGCGGUAGAGCAUGUAUGUUGGGACCCGAAAGAUGGUGAACUAUGCCUGAAUAGGGUGAAGCCAGAGGAAACUCUGGUGGAGGCUCGUAGCGAUUCUGACGUGCAAAUCGAUCGUCAAAUUUGGGUAUAGGGGCGAAAGACUAAUCGAAUCAUCUAGUAGCUGG
rnacentral:rRNA from 1 species